rnacentral:rRNA from 1 species
AGCGAACGCUGGCGGCAUGCCUUACACAUGCAAGUCGAACGGCAGCACGGAGCUUGCUCUGGUGGCGAGUGGCGAACGGGUGAGUAAUAUAUCGGAACGUACCCAAGAGUGGGGGAUAACGUAGCGAAAGUUACGCUAAUACCGCAUACGGUCUAAGGAUGAAAGCAGGGGACCGCAAGGCCUUGUGCUCCUGGAGCGGCCGAUAUCUGAUUAGCUAGUUGGUGAGGUAAAGGCUCACCAAGGCAUCGAUCAGUAGCUGGUCUGAGAGGACGACCAGCCCCACUGGAACUGAGACACGGUCCAGACUCCUACGGGAGGCAGCAGUGGGGAAUUUUGGACAAUGGGGGCAACCCUGAUCCAGCAAUGCCGCGUGAGUGAAGAAGGCCUUCGGGUUGUAAAGCUCUUUUGUCAGGGAAGAAACGGUCGUGGCUAAUAUCCAUGGCUAAUGACGGUACCUGAAGAAUAAGCACCGGCUAACUACGUGCCAGCAGCCGCCGUAAGAC